rnacentral:lncRNA from 10 species
UUGGAGCACUGUGGGCCUAUGGCGAACACUUGCAGAUUACUGAUCAUUUUGGGAUGAACUCCUUGCGUGGUCUGUAAACAAACGCAACGCAGCUCUCUCAACACAGCAGCGGCAGGACCAGCUGGGGAAGAAAGAGAGACACCCUUUAUAGGGCAGGUUGCUGGGAGAGUUCCCUGGAACGCAGCGACCCCGCAGAGGCUGGGAUGCACCUCUGUGCCCGAGUGCGAGUGCGUCCCGCGCGCCAUGCGCUCUCACCGCUGGCGAUGGGCCCUGGCUGCGUCAGCAGCAGCAGCAGCACCAACAGCGCGCACAAGGAGCUCGAAGGACCGGGGACACGGGCCGCGCGGCUGGACAGGAGGCUCAUAGUGGUCAAGAGAGCGCUGCGAGCGGUCGCGGGUUCCUGAACUGGGUGGAGGAGCGGAGAUUGGAGGAGCGAAGAUUGGAGGAUCCGGAGCACUGUGGCUUCCUCGUGCCUUCUGCACUCCUUUUAUCUACACUCAUCUCUCCCCACUGACAGGAAACUCAAGCUUUGGGAUGCUGGGGAAAUUCCCUGAACUCAUGGGGCAGUGUGGAAA